rfam:Archaeoglobus profundus DSM 5631, complete genome.
GCCGGGGUUGCCGAGUGGUAAGGCGGCGGCCUGCUAAGCCGCUCCCCUCUGGGGUCGUGGGUUCGAAUCCCACCCCCGGCG